CAUGCUGUCUCUCUCUGUCUCUCAAAAAUAAAAUAAAAUAAAAUAAAAUAAAAUAAAAUAAAAUAAAUAAACAAACAUUUUUUAAUGUUUAUUUUUGAGAGAGACAGAGUGUUAGCGGGAGAGGGGCAGAGAGAGAGGCAGACACAGAAUCGGACGCAGGCUCCAGGUUCUGAGCUGUCGGCACAGAGCCCGACGUGGGGCUCGAACUCAUGAGCCAUGAGAUCAUGACCUGAGCCAAAGUUGGAUGUUUAACCGACUGAGCCACCCAGGCUCAACAAAAGCUUCUUAACAAAAACGUUCUAAUAUUCAUCUCUAAGAAAAAGUGUACCAGAAUCACCAGAAAAUAUUUAAAAAUAAAAAGUAAUGAAAAGGCACUUGCCCUUCCAGCUUAAAAUGUUUUGAAAGAUGUGAAAUUAUUAAAAUAUAAACAGUCAUCUCAGUGGAAUGAAAUAGCAGAUCCAUAAAUGAGCCGAGGCCACUCAUUCAGUUAAUCAGUCAAUCCCUUCAAUUACAUGUAAUAGAUAUGUUGUAUCUAUACACAUUUUAUAUGUUAUGUAUUUGGUAUAGAAAAAGCAGGAUUUUAAAGAAAUAGAAUUGGGAAAAGAAAUAACUUCAAGAUGAAUCACAAGUAUAAAAAUAAAAACAAAAAUAAAACAUUGGAAGAGAAUAUAGGUGGAUGUUUGUGUAAUUCUAAAUUUUUUUAAGUUUAUUUAUUUUGAUAGAGAGCAAGUGGGGGAGGGCCAGAGAGAGAGAGAGAGAAAAGUAAACUUAAGCAGGCUCUGCACUGUCAGCGAGAAGCCCGAUGAGGGGCUUGAACUCACGAACUGUGAGAUCAUGACCUGAGCCAAAACCAAGAGUCUGACGCUUAACCGACUGAGCCACCCAGGUGCCCCUUGUGUAAUUCUAAGGUGGACAAAGUUCUUUCUAAUCGUGACAGCAAAAGCAGGAGCCAUAAAAGAAAAGAUUGAAAGAGCAUUUCAGUCACCUUGACCUAUAUAAAAAGAGAGUUCUUUUCAAUUUUUUUAGUGCAGAUAAAAUUAAGAACCUCUAUAGAUGAUAAAAAAAAAAUUAUAAGGCAAGCAAUAAAGUGGGAAACACUUAACCACUGUGAACAAUAAUUAUUAUCCCUAAUAUUUAAAGAACUCUUGUAAAUUAGUAAAAAUAAAUAAAUACAUAAACCAUGCUCAAUAGCAAAAUGAGCAGAGGACAUUUAUCAAAAAGUGAAGCCAGUAGCCAACAAACCUACAGUGUUUUUUGAACCCUACUAUUGAUAUAUAAUAAAACAAGUUAAACACAAUAUCAUUUUCCCCAAUUGUUAGGCUGAUGUCGAUUGAAAAGAAUGAUGAUAUAUAGAGUGAUGAUAAGUACAUGGGAAACUGUGUCAUAUACGCUGAUGUUGAAUUCACAAGUUGGUGUAAUAUAUAAGGAGGGUACUUUUCAUAAAAUUUAAAAUAUUUAAUAUCAUGAAUACCUUUUUGCAAGCAAUUCCACUUAAGGCAUUAUUUUAAGGAGGUAAACCAACAGAUGUAUCCAAAGCAAUACCCAUUCAUUCUUGUUAUAACAGCAAAAUAUUAUAACAACUAGGAGAGUAUUUGGUUGUACAAAGCAUCCACAUCAUAUGGUUGAAUACCAUGAAAACUUUAAAAAUGGUAUUGUAGAUGCAUAUUUAUUCAUAAAUGUCCAAGAUUAUUUCAAUGGAAAAAAUCAAAUCAGUAUGUAGGAAUGAACCUGGGGUUGUUUGUUUUGUAAGUCUCUAGAAGAGUAAUUCUUAAAAGUUCUCAUCACAAGGAAAAAAGCUGUAAUUAUAUGGGGUGAUGGAUGUGACCUCGGCUUGUUGUGGUGGUUAUUUCAUGAUAUAUACGUUUGUGAAAUCAUUACGUUGUACACCAAAAACGAAUACAAUGUUAUAUGUCCAUUAUAUGGCAAUAAGAAAAUUAAAUGCCUGGAUUCACUUCUACUUUACUGUUAAUAGUUAGGAUUAUUGGAAACGUUUAAAAAUAUUUGUUCCCUUCUAUUUUCUAAACAUGGGGGAGUGAAGUGAGGAGAAGCAAAGAACAACGAUAAAAGAGAGAAAUAUACCGCCUGUUUAAAAGAAGGUAGAAAAAGAAAUCCCCCUACCAAAAAAAAAAUGGCAAAUUGACCCCUCAUUCGCAGUGAUCUGAGAAGGAGUUAUAUUUUAGUGUGCAGUGAGGGGGUCUUUACCACGUAAGGAUGGCCUGAUACCCCUGAGUCUGGUGUGCAUUAGGAUUCCCUCUCGGAUUGAAUUCACUUACUUCUGGCGGUAGAGAUCAAAGUAGGGCAGAAAUAUUCUGUACGACAUUCUGACAAAAAUUAAAAGAUGAAAGAAACCUGUAUAAAAUAAUUAAUACAGCAAGAAAAAAGCAGAACCUGCUUGUGUCGAGAAAAGACUUUGAUAAAAAGCUUCUUGUAUAGGUUAUGCCAUCUUCUAUGGAACAAAAUGCUGCAUUACUUCCCUAACAAAAUGUAAGCGUAUCUGAAAUUUUCGCAUCUUUCUCUGUUUCUCGAGAGAACGUUAUUUCAGUGAUGAUAAAAUUCCCCAUGAUUCCUUAGUACUUCUGAAGAGGUGACGCUGUAGGUGUUUUAUGAGACACCUAUAAGAAAUAACUCUCACUUAUCCCUGAGAAAGCUACCUCAGUACAGGUUUGACAGAUAUCGUCAGGCAUGGAUCCCUGAAAAUGUCUUUGAUCACCCUCAUAUUAAAAAAAAAGAAACAACAGGGGCGCCUGGGUCGCUCACUUGGUUAAGCAUCUGACUUCGGCUCGAGCCAUGAUCUCACGGUUGGUGAGUUUGAGCCCCGCGUCGGGCUCUGUGCUGACAGCUCAGAGCCUGGAGCCCGUUUUGCAUUCUGUGUCUCCCUCUCUCUCUGCUCCUCCCCUGCUCACGCUCUGUCUCUCUCUCAAAAAUAAACAAAGAGUUUUUAAAAAUUUUAAGAAGAAAAAAACAACUCUGGAAAUGUUAAGAGUCCAGUGCGUUUAUUCUGUGCUGGGUGUUUGAGCAACGAGGCAGAAAUAUAUGUAGAAGUUGACCAUCUGGGUAUUAAAGAGUUUAUGUUUCUGUUGCAUUUCUUUAAAAAAAAAGAUUUCUCUCUAUAGCAUUAAUUUUAUGUAAGGAAGUAUAUGUAUUGACUUUGUACAGGUGCAUCAUUUAGAUAAAUAUGGGAAAGCUUAUAAAGAACUGCAGUAAUAAUCUUAAAUUCCGUACAAGGUGUAGUUCAUGCUAAUGUAGCAGUGUGGAGAGAACACGAAACUUCCAUUGAGAAGAUCCUACUCAGAAACCUGCUCCACUGCAUUGUGGGAACGAGAGCAUGAAUUGGGGGCUCUUUGAGGGCUAAACAAUAUAAAAUGUAGCCACUUGUAGCAAUGUGGAUGGAACUGGAGGGUAUUAUGCUAAAUGAAACAAGUCAGGCAGAGAAAGACAGAUACCGUAUGUUUUCACUCAUAUGUGAAUCCUGAGAAACUUAACAGAAGACCAGGGGGGAAGGGAAGGGGGAAAAAAAAGUUAUAGAGAGGGAAGGAGGCAAACCAUAAGAGACUCUUAAAUACUGAAAACAAACUGAGGGUUGAUGGGGGUGGGGAGAGGGGAAAGUGGGUGAUGGGCAUGGAGGAGGGCACCUGUUGGGAUGAACACUGGGUGUUGUAUGGAAACCAAUUUGACAAUAAAUUAUAUUUAAUAUAAAAAAUAAAAAUAAAAUGUAGUACAAAUACAACUAAAUUAUACAACUACGUUCUGGGCAGAAAUUUUCACUCAAUUGAUGCAAAACCUGCCCCUGGAUUGAGUCCCUGCCUCUGAGUGUGGGGCACCUAUCCCAGGUAAGUAGUUGAAGCUUCUUGGAGUUAGAGGGUGCUGACCCACCCAGGGUCUUAGAGGACAAUGGGCUCUGAGUCGAUGGCCCACCCCAAUUUGCAGCUCCUUUGGAAAGAUCUAGGUUGCUUUUAAAUCCCUCCUCAGUGGCAUCUGUUACUUGAAACUAGAAGUCAUGUUUUUAUUAUGUCCGGAAUAGACUUCAUGUAUCUCCACUUGUGUUAAUCUCUGGCUGGCUGAAGAAGGGAGAUGGAUAGUUAGGUAAAGAAUCAGGCCCAGAACACAGCUGCUGAAUUACCUCUUAGAGGUGUUUAUAGCAGUUGAAACAUCUACCUGCCUAACUAACCAUGAGAAACAGAGACAAGAAACUACAUGAUGAGACUUCAUCUAAACAAAUCCACACUCCCCCCCCGCCCCGCCCCAUAUCUCUGUCCCUUUCCUUGAAUCCCUUUAAACUCUGUUGGAGGGAUUGGUCAUAUGUGGCUUUUGUGGCGGAUACUUGUCCUCUGGCUAGACUGUCAGUUUCUCUGUCACUGGUCAGCAGUGUCCCCAGUGCCUCGUUCCAUGUCUGUUUUCUUGAUCUUUGAUCCUUAAUAUGGCUCAGUUUUUAAAGCCUCCUGUUUUAUGUUAAUAUUCUAUCCAUACCUGAAAUAUUCAAGUUUCCAAUAAGCAUUCAUUGAUUUUGUUUCUCUACUAAGUAUCUCUUUAGUUUCCUUUUGCUGUACUUAAUAUUUAAUGAUCAUUUCUUGUUUAUAUCAUUUACUGAUUUCGUGGUGUUAUUUUUCAUGGAUAGUUUAAUUACUCUGUGAUGCAUCAUGUUCUUAAUUUGAAUUUCCAUUUUUUCUUCUCACUUUGAGGUUUUAUCAUCAUUUAUUAACUUACCACAUUGUUAUUCCUACUUUAAAUAUUCAAAAACUAAAAAUGGGAAGGAAAGACUUGUUUUGAAUCAUGAACUGAGACCCUCUGUCUUAAACUGGGAGUUUCCCUAGAGAAUAAAACCAUCAUUUCUCAGAACACAGCCUCAAUCCUCCCCCAUAUGGACCCUUCUGCUCCAUUCCCUAAGCUGCCAUCCGCAUGAAGACACGCAUUGCCCCCACCCUAGAUGUGACUGCAAAGACAGGUGAUUAGGCUUCUUGACUCCAGGUGCUCUGGUCACCACACCUUCUCCAAACAGUUGAUUAUAACAACCUCUUACGGAAAUAACAGCUAGUUGCUUGUGCUUAUUAAUAGAGUAAACAUCUUAGCCUGGAAUUCAAGAUCUUCCUCAAUCUCCUGUGAAUUUAUUACUCAAAACUAUGUUCUAUUGGUAAUGAGGAGUGGGGAAGAUGUUCAGGAAAUUUCUAAUUCAGAGCCAGUCUUGUGGUUGGCUUUCUGUGUUGAAUGAGGCAUAUUUAGGAUAAAAAAGAUUUGGUUCCUGUAAUUGAAGAGGUCAUAGAUUAGUGGAAGAGGAGACAGAUACUCCAUUUAAUGUAAAUUCUUGCAAUAGAGUACAAUGCCUGCAGAGGUAGAGUUAUGAAAGAUAAAGCAUAUAGAAAAUGCAGUAGCCAACUUCCACCCAGUAGGAUGACUACUUAACAAAACAAAACAUGGGCCGCCUGGGUGGCUCAGUCAGUGAAGCGUCCGACUUCAGCUCAGGUCAUGAUCUCACAGUUCGAGGGUUCGAGCCCCACGUCGGGCUCUGUGCUGACAGCUCAGAGCCUGGAGCUGGCUUCAGAUUCUGUGUCUCCCUCUCUCUCUGCCCCUCCCCAACUAGCGCUCUGUCUCUGUCUCUCAAAAAAAUAAAAAGAAACAAAAACGUUUAAAAAAUAAUAAUAAAAAAGAAAACUCUUUAAAAACAAAACAAAACAAACAACCCCCCCCCCAAAAAAAAAAAAAAAAAAAAAAACAGAAAGUAAGCAUUGGUGAGGACGUAGAAAAAUUGGAACCCUCACGCACUGCUAGUGGGAAUGUAAAAUGGUGCAGCCAUUGUGGAAAACAAUAUGGCUGUUCCCCUCAAAAUUAAUAAUAGAAUUACCCUGUGAUUCAUUAAUUCCAGUUCUGGGCAUAUAUCCCAAAGAAUUGAAAGCAUGGUUUUGAAGAGAGAUUUGGGUGUUUCUUGUUCAUAGACCAUUAUUCACAGUAGCCAAAAAGUGGAAGCAACCCAAAUGUCCACUGAUGAUGGAAUGGAGAAGCAAAAUGUUGCACAUACAUACACGGAAAUAUUUUUCAGCCUUAAAAAGAGAAGAAAUUCUGCAAUAUGCUACAACAUGGGUCAGUCUUGAGGACGUUAUACCAAAUGAAAUAAGCCAGACAAAAUCACAUACCAUGUGAUUCACCUAGAGUUGUCAAACUUCUAGAAAUUAGAAUGGUGACUGCCAGGAAUUGAGAAGAGGGGGAAAGGGGAGUCCUUAUUGAAUGGAUACAAAGUUUCAGUUUUGCAACAGGAGAAGGGUUCUGUGGAUGGAUAAUGGUGAUGGUUGCAGGACAGUGUGAACGUAUUGAAUAUCACUCACUACACUUAAAAAGGGUUAAGAUGGUAAAUGUUAUGUGUAUUUUACUGCAAUUACAAAAGAAAAGGUGGGGGGGAUCUGGUGAAAGCCAAUGCUGUAGCAGCUACUAAGGAAAUAGAAAACUAGACCAACUGGACCAGUACGUCAUUUCAAUAACUUUGAGACAGCUUGUAGGGCCAGUGGGGCAUCAUUGUUACAUCUAAUACUGGGAGUAUCUUAACAUAUAAAUAUGCUAUUUAAUGUGAGAUCUGGGUAUGUGACAGGCAUCACACUCAGCUUCUUAAGCAGCUUCAUUGGUUUAAAAAUGAGUAGCUGCUCCAUUAGUUGGCGUUUCAACCCAAGAAGCACUUGGGGUUGCCAGGCAACAGAUCACUGCUGUCAAGAGGGGCAAAUCUGACAUUAAUUUUAUAUCUCUUAAAAUGCUAGAAGAAAUGUUGAAUCUAAAUGUUUUCAUUCCUACCUACUCUCUUUAAAAAUACAAACACGUGGAUUGUCCAGAGCAGUGCCGUGCUGUUGCUACAAGACGAGAGUGUUUCGUGCAGCUGCUCCCGUGUUUUGUUUUCUUUGCCAAAGCACACUCAGUCUUUCAGGAGACCGGGGGCAACAUGUGGACUCGACGCUGUGAGGACUAAUAUCAUUAUAGGAGAAGCUCUUACGUCACCCAGCAAAAUAAAGCCACUAAAUGGCAAACGUUUUCUUUAAGAAUGGAUUUUUUAAAUCCAGAAGACUUCUUUUUGGGUAAGCUUAGGGGGGAAAAAAAGGACAAUGGUUAGAUUACUCAUUGUACUUUUGUGCAGAGCACCAGAAUAAAUGAGAGAACUAAUGCCUGUGAUCCACACAAGUAGAGCCAGUGAGAAAUGUACAAAGUUGACGUUACUCAACUGGAUUGGCCAAGGGAUACCUAAAGAAGAAGGGAGAUUCUUUUUCCUUAUACAGUAAGACGUGUGUGUUUUGCUCUGACUAUAGUCUUUAUUUAACCGACUAUAUAGAGCAGAGCGGUGAGGGGUAUCGUUAAGCACAUGAAUAAUUUUGACCCUCACCUGUUUUCUCUUAAUGCCAAAAAUUGGGUUGGUGGGAACUCCUAGCACUGGGACUUCUUCUUCAACCUUAAUUCUGCCCUUUCCCGGGAGCCCAUGUGGUUGACCCAUCUGGCACCCCGCCUUCUGGGUUCCUUGCCUCUGUGAAUUGAACUCAACUUCAGUUCCACACUAACGGCUCCCACCUGUGGGCGUGCCAAGAAGGGGGUGGGCCACUGAAUUCUCUGCUCCCUAUUCUGAUCUGUGGCUGUCCUUCCCCUCCUUGCCUCUUGCACUCCCUUUCCCACAGUGGCUACUCCAAACCUCCACCGCUGUCUGGAAUUUCUCUUGAGCUGCUUUCCACCCCUCUGUCUGCACUCAUCGUUAGCUCUUCCUUUCCUGUUUCUGUCCAAAGCUAAAGUACUUUUUCCACCUGUGCCCUUGACUCUAGCUCCUUCUGCAACCCACAGACCCUUUCUUGAGUUAGAAAGCCUGGUUUAGGAUCCUGCUUAGAUGCGGUGUGACCUUGGCAAGUCAGUCGGCCUCUCUGUACAGCAGCUUCUUGCCAGCAGAAGGUGGUGAGUAGUGUACCCACGUCCUACAUUAUGAGGAGUCAAAGAGAUAAUGUGUGUAAAGCACAUUGAGCAGUGCCUGGCAUGUAGUUUUCAAUCAGUGUUCGAUGCUCUGAUGCUCAGUGUUAGCAUCUUAGCUCCUGUCUUCGGUGCUGGUUCUGGGCCCCUGGGAUCCCAUUCAUGUGCCCACUUGCUUCCUGCCCGCGACUUCAGCAGUUGUGGGCUUUCCCCACACUUGCUUUCCAGCCUUUCAGUCUUCGAUAGCUCUUCCUACAGGGAAGCCUUACUUGAUUUUUAUACCUCCCCCCAACACUAGCCCAAGUGUGAGAGGUUGCCCCCAUCUUCCCAUAGCUCCCUAGACUUCCUUUCUGUAAUAGUUUUGUGUGUCCGCGUGGCUAGGCCGUAGCACCCGGUUACUCCGUCAAACACCACUCGAGGUGUUGCUCUGGAGGUAUGGUGUAGACGCGGUUGACAUCUGUAAUCCGUUGACUUUAAGUAAAGGAGGUUAUCCCCUCUAAUCUGGAUGGGCCUCAUUGAAUCAUUUCAGUGGCCAUAGGAGCAAAGCUGAGGGUUCCCUGAGGGAGAAGACAUUCUGCCCCAAGGCUACAACACAGACUCCUGCCUCCGAGUUUCUGCCCUGCAGGCCUGCGCUGUGGAUUUUGAACUUUCCAGCCCGCAUAACUGUGUCAGGCAGUUUCUUGAAAUCUGUGUGUGUGUAUCUCUGUGUGUACGUGUAGGGACAGAUAUACAUAUAUGCGUUUGUAUGAAUACAUACGUAUUGAUGUACACACACGUAUACACGUGUUCGCUUUCUACUGCUUCUGUUUCCUGGAAGAAACCUGACUGUUUCCGCCUCUCCUCACUUGCACAGACUGCAUUGCACCCCGUUUCCUUUCUGAAUCUCCUCUGCUCUGACAGCCAACAUGCGGGCAGGAGCCACAUUCGUCCACAUGCCGGACCCACAACUCAAUUUGUAUUGAAUGAAUGAAUGCUGGGGAAAGUUAGAAUGUAUGCUAUCAUUGAGCAUAAUAAAAAUGAAUAUGUAAUCUUCAGUGUGAUGAACAGGAAAAAUAUGCAGCCGAGAAUCCUUUAUCCAGCAAGUCUGUCAUUCAGAAUAGGAGAGAUAAAGGUUUUCCCAAACAAAAACUGAAGGAAUUCAUCACCACUAAACCAGCCCUACAAGAGAUCCUAAGGGGGACUCCAUGACUGAAGUGUUGCAAGGACCACAAAGUACCAGAGACAUCACUACAAGCAUGAAACCUACAGACAUCACAAUGACUCUAAACCCAUAUCUUUCAAUAAUAACACUGAAUGUAAACAGACUAAAUGCUCCAACCAAAAGACAUAGGGUAUCAGAAUGGAUAAAAAAAAAAAACAAGACCCAUCUAUUUGCUGUCCACAAGAGACUCGUUUUAGACCUGAGGACACCUUCAGAUUGAAAGUGAGGGGAUAGAGAACUAUCUAUCAUGCCACUGGAAGUCAAAAGAAAGCUGGAGUAGCCAUACUUACAUCAGACAAACUAGACUUUAAAUUAAAGGCUGUAACAAGAGAUGAAGAAGGGCAUUAUAUAGUAAUUACAGGGUCUAUCCAUCAGGAAGAGCUAACAAUUAUAAAUGUCUAUGCACCGAAUAUGGGAGCCCCCAAAUAUAUAAAACAAUUACUCACAAACAUAAGCAACCUUAUGGAUAAGAAUGUGGUAAUUUCAGGGGACUUUAAUACCCCACUCACAACAAUGGAUAGAUCAUCUGGACACAGGAUCAAUAAAGAAACAAGGGCCCUGAAUGAUACAUUGGGUCAGAUGGACUUGACAGAUAUAUUUAGAACUCUGCAUCCCAAAGCCACAGAAUAUACUUUCUUCUCGAGUGCACACGGAACAUUCUCCAAGAUAGAUCAUAUACUGGGUCACAAAACAGCUCUUCAUAAGUAUGAAAGAAUUGCGAUCAUACCAUGCCUACUUUCAGAAAUCUGAAACUUGAAAUCAACCACAGGAAAAAGUCUGGAAAACCUCCAAAAGCAUGGAGGUUAAAGAACGCCCUACUAAAGAGUAAAUGGGUCAACCAGGCAAUUAGAGAAGAAAUUUAAAAAUAUAUGGAAACAAAUGAAGAUGAAAAUACAACCAUCCAAACACUUUGGGAUGCAGCAAAGGCAGUCCUGGGAGGGAAAAUACAUUGCAAUCCAGGCCUAUCUCAAGAAACAAGAAAAAUCCCAAAUACAAAGUCUAACAGCACACCUAAAGGAAAUACAAGCAGAGCAGCAAAGACACCCCAAACCCAGCAGAAGAAGAGAAAUAAUAAAGAUUGGAGCAGAAAUAAACAAUAUAGAAUCUAAAAAAACUAUAGAGCAGAUCAAUGAAACCAAGAGUUGGUUUUUUGAAAAAAUAAAAUUGAUAAACCUCUAGCCAGGCUUCUCAAAAAGAAAAGGGAGAUGACCCAAAUAGAUAAAAUCAUGAAUGAAAAUGGAAUGAUUACAACCAAUCCCUCCGAAAUACAAGCAGUUAUCAGGGAAUACUAUGAAACAUUAUAUGCCAACAAACUGGACAACCUGGAAGAAAUGGACAAAUUCCUAAGCACCCACCCACUUCCAAAACUCAAACAGGAAGAAACAGAAAACUUGAACAGACCCAUACCCAGCAAAGAAAUUGAAUCAGUUAUCAAAAAUCUCCCAACAGAUAAGAGUUCAGGACCAGAUGGCUUCCCUGAGGAAUUCAACCAGACAUUUAAAGCAGAGUUAAUACCUAUCCUUUUCAAGCUGUUCCAAAAAAUAGAAAGGGAAGGAAAACUUCCAGACUCAUUCUAUGAAGCCAGCAUUACUUUGAUUCCCAAACCAGACAGAGACCCAGCAAAAAAAGAGAACUAUGGGCCAAUAUCCCUGAUGAAUAUGGAUGCAAAAAUUCUCAAUAAGAUACUAGCAAAUCGAAUUCAACAGCAUAUAAAAAGAAUUAUUCACCAUGAUCAAGUGGGAUUCAUUCCUGGGUUGUAGGGUUGGUUCAAUAUUCACAAAUUGAUCAAUGUGAUACAUCACAUUAAUAAAAGAAAAGAUAAGAACCAUAUGAUCCUGUCAAUCAAUGCAGAAAAAGCAUUUGACAAAAUUCAGCAUCCUUUCUUAAGAAAAACCCUUGAGAGAGUCAGGAUAGAAGGAACAUGCUUAAACAUCAUAAAAGCCAUUUAUGAAAAGCCCACAGCUAAUAUCAUCCUCAAUGGGGAAAAACUGAGAGCUUUCCCCCUGAGAUCAGGAACACGACAGGGAUGUCCACUCUUACCGCUGUUGUUUAACAUAGUGUUGGAAGUUCUAGCAUCAGCAAUCAGACAACAAAAGGAAGUCAGUCAUCCAAAUUGACAAAGAUGAAAUCAAGCUUUCACUUUUUGCAGAUGACAUGAUAUUAUACAUGGAAAAUCCGAUAGACUCCACCAAAAGUCUGCUAGAACUGAUACAUGAAUUCAGCAAAGUCGCAGGAUACAAAAUUAAUGUACAGAAAUCAGCUGCAUUCUUACAGACUAAUAAUGAAGCAACAGAAAGACAAAUAAACUGAUCCCAUUCAUAAUUGCACCAAGAAUCAUAAAAUACCUAGGAAUAAACCUAACCAAAGAUGUAAAAGAUCUGUGUGCUGAGAACUAUAGGAAGCUUAUGAAGGAAACUGAAGAAGAUACAAAGAAAUGGAAAAACAUUCCAUGCUCAUGGAUUGGAAGAAUAAAUAUUGUUAAAAUGUCAAUACUACCCAAAGCAAUCUACACAUUCAAUGCAAUCCCAAUCAAAAUUGCACCAGUAUUCUUCUUAAAGCUAGAACACACAAUCCUAAAAUUUGUAUGGAACCACAAAAGACCCCAAAUAGCCAAAGUAAUAUUGAAGAAGAAGACCAAAGCAGGAGGCAUCACAAUCCCAGACUUUAGCCUCUACUACAAAGCUUUCAUCAUCAAGACAGCAUGGUAUUGGCACAAAAACAGACACAUAGACCAGUGGAAUAGAAUAGAGACUCCAGAAUUGGACCCACAAAAGUAUGGCCAACUAAUCUUUGACAAAGCAGGAAAGAAUAUCCAAUGGAAAAAAGACAGUCUCUUUAGCAAAUGGUGCUGGGAGAACUGGACAGCAACAUGCAGAAGAUUGAAACUAGACCACUUUCUCACACCAUUCACAAAAACAAACUCAAAAUGGAUAAAGUACCUGAAUGUGAGACAGGAAACCAUCAAAACCCUAGAGGAGAAAGCAGGAAAAAAACCUCUCUGACCUCAGCCGCAGCAAUUUCUUACUGGACACAUCUCCAAAGGCAAGGGAAUUAAAAGCAAAAAUGAACUAUUGGGACCUCAUUAAGAUAAAAACCUUCUGCACUGCAAAGGAAACAAUCAACAAAACUAAAAGGCAACUGAUGGAAUGGGAAAAGAUAUUUGCAAAUGACAUAUCGGACAAAGGGCUAGUAUCCAAACUCUAUAAAGAACUCACCAAACUCCACACCCGAAAAACAAAUGAUCCAGUGAAGAAAUGGGCAGAAGACAUGAAUAGACACUUCUCUAAAGGAGACAUCCAGAUGGCCAACAGGCACAUGAAAAGAUGCUCAACGUCACUCCUCAUUAGCGAACUACAAUUCAAAACCACACAGGUAACAACUCACACCAGCCAGAGUGGCCAAAAUGAACAAAUCAGGAGACUAUAGAUGCUAGAGAGGAUGUGGAGAAACGGGAACCCUCUCACACUGUUGGUGGGAAUGCAAACUGAUGCAGCCACUCUGGAAAACAGUGUGGAGGUUCCUCAAAAAAUUAAAAAUCGAUCUACCCUAUGACCCAGCAAUAGCACUUCUAGGAAUUUACCCAAGGGAUACAGGAGUGCUGAUGCAUAGGGGCACUUGUACCCCAAUGUUUAUAGCAGCACUUUAAACAAUAGCCAAAUUAUGGAAAGAGCUUAAAUGUCCAUCAACUGAUGAAUGGAUAAAGAAAUUGUGGUUUAUAUACACAAUGGAAUACUACUUGGCAAUGAGAAAGAAUGAAAUAUGGCCUUUUGUAGAAAUGUGGAUGGAACUGGAGAGUGUUACGCUAAGUGAAGUAAGUCAUCCAGAGAAAGACAGAUACCAAAUGUUUUCACGCUUAUGUGGAUCCUGAGAAACUUAACAGAAGACCAUGGGGGAAAAAAGUUAGAGAGGGAGGGAGCCAAACCGUAAGAGACUCUUAAAAACUGAGAAUAAACUGAGGGUUGAUCAGGGGUGGGAGGGAGGGGAAAGUGGGUGAUGGACAUUGAGGAGGGCACCUGUUGGGAUGAGCACUGGGUGUUGUACGGAAACCAGUUUGACAAUAAAUUUCAUAUUAAAAAAGAAAGAAUAUGUGAAGGGAGUAACUCUUCUAAUUGGCAGAUGAUUUCUCAUCACUCCUAUAGAUGGAGUCCACAGAGAAUGAUGUCUCUCUUACUCCUUGUCUUAGUCAUUAUGGGCUGAAGCUGGUGCAUUCACCUUCCGCUUUGCCUUUUAGCCUCAAAGAUAUUUGAGAUCAUGAUUUAUCCUUUUCCCUUCUGUAUGACUCAUGGCAGGAUUUAGUUCUUUAAUUUUCCUACAUAUGCAUCUUUUGGAUAAGAACAGUUUAUAAACAACUGUUAAGAGCUGGAUGACUUUUUUCCUACUUCAUCCUUCAUAAGAAUCUUUCUCUUUCUAUAAUAGGAUUAUUUGAAAAUUUUGGCAAGAGGUUUGUUUUGAAACCCAGGCUGAGGCCAGAUUAGUUCAUGAGGAUGCUGGUGUAGAUUUGCGAUGUGUAUUUACUCAAAGGUUCAGAUUUCUCUUUAAUGUUAUUGUAUGACAUUUUUAUUUUCAGUUUGGAAGUUAACCUGAUUAUUGUUCCUGAUAUUUCUUAGUUGAUUGAUCUGUCUAGUACAAUCUCAAACCCCGUUGUUGUUUGUGAUAUGUAUUGCUGAGGGGGCCACCAAUACUUAGAAAUCAUAUGUAGACACUGCCAGCACUGAUAAAGAUCCUAUUUCUGAGCUGGCAUUGUGGGUCCAUUGUGAGACAAUUAGGACUGGUUGAAUCUCUUUCUGCAUGAUGUAAUGUAUUUUUGUCAAAGUUGGAACACAUUGAAACUAUGAACUUGGGCAGUUCCUUGAAUUGUUUGGAUUCAGAGACACUUGAAGAACUAAAAAUAACUUCACAGGGCGAGAAAUAUAUCAGGCAUUUCUUCUUUUGGAAGGAGCUCUAUUCAUUCUGUCUCCUGAUUUUUGGGAAACAGUGUGUCUGGUUCUAGUCCCAGGGGAGCCCGGUGUGAGGGCUCAGAACGUGGAGCCCAGUGUUCUCUCUUCCAAGGAUCCUGUCCAGUCCUUGUGCUUCCCUGGCCCUAAGAGAGAAAGGCUCGGCACUAAAAAAGGGUGUAGGGAGCUGAACCAAAGGGGAUCAUUAUAGCUUUAGUGGGAUAUCCUCAACAUAGGACUGAGAAGGCAGGAGGUGGUUAUAGCUACACAGAUGAGGGCAAAGAGAGGCUUAGGACAUGAAGGUGGCCUGGGUUUGACCUUCAGUCAUCUAAUGGGACAUUAAGCAGUUUUAUCCCCCACUAGAAUGUAAGCUUUGUGCACUAAUCGCCCCAUGCAGGUUGAACAGGGAUGGAUGUGAUUCCCACACAAAGCCUAGAAGAGAGCCAGGAUAUUAUGUUGAGUUUCCCCAUCCUAACAACAGCUUAGGCUGGCUUUGGUCUCAUAGAAAGAUCUGAGCUUGGAGCUAGGCAUUGUGGAUGUUAAUCCCAACUUUUUAAAAUAAGGCCUAUGAAAUCACCUUGUACUUUAGUCAUUCCAAGUGGAAAAUGGGAAUAAUAAUGUAAUUUUUCCUGUUAUGCAGUAUAGUUUAAAAUUUUUUAAUCUUUAUUUAUUUUUGAGAGAGAGAUACAGAGUGCGAGCAGGGGAGGAACAGAGAGAGAGGGAGACACAGAAUCCGAAGCGGGCUCCAGGCUCUGAGCUGUCAGUACAGAGCCCGACACGGGGCUUGAAUUCACGAACCGCGAGAUCAUGACCUGAGCCAAAGUUGGAUGCUUAACUGACUGAGCCACCAGGCACCCCUAUGCAAUGUAGUUUUAAAGAUGGGCAUUACAGGGGUGCCUGGGUGGCUCAUACUGUUAACUGUCCAACUCUUGAUUUUAGUUCAGGUCAUGAUCUCAUGGUUCAUGGGAUUGAGCCCUGCAGUGGGCUCUACACUGACAGCACAGAGCCUGCUUGGGAUUCGCUCUCUCUCCCUCUCUCUCUACCUCUCUCUCUCUUUCUCAAAACAAAUAAAAUUUAAAGAUGGGCACUGUAAAUUCAAGCUAUUGGGAUUACACCAAAAUGAAAAAUUUUUCACAGUGAAGGAAACCGUCAACCAAACAAUCUACUGAAUGGGAGAAGAUAUUUGCACAUGAUAUAUUUGAUAAGGGGUUAGUACCCAGAAUAUAUGAAAAACUUCUACAACUCAACACCAACAAACAAUCCAAUUAAAAGAUGGGCAGAGGACCUGAAUAGGCAUUUUUCAGAGGAAGUUAUACAGGUGGCCAACAGACACAUGAAAAGAUGCUCAGCAUCACUAACCAUCAGGCAAAUCCAGGUCAUAACCACAAUGAGAUAUCACCUCACACCUGUCCAAAUGGCCAAAACCCAAAACACAAGAAACAACAAGUGUUGGUGGGGAUGUGGAGAAAGUGUACAGUGUGUGCACUGUUGGUGGGAAUACGGCUCUUACAGCCACUGUGGAAAAGAGUAUGGAGGUUCCUCAAAAAAUAAACAGAAUUAUCAUAUGAUCCAGUAAUUCCAGUGCUAGGUAUUCACCCAAAGAAAACAAAACCACUGGGGCACCUGGGUGGCCCAGUCUGUUGAGCAGCCAACUUCAGCUCAGGUCAUGAUCUCACAGUUCAUGGGUUCAAGCCCUGCAUCGGGCUCUGUGCUGACACCUCAGAGCCUAGAUCCUGCUUUGGAUUCUGUCUCUGUCUCCCCCACUCAUAUUCUUUCUCUCUCUGUCUCUCAAAAAUAAAGAAAAACAUUUAAAAAAAUUUUUUAAAGAAACAAAAACACUAAUUUGAAAAGAUAUAUGCACCCCUCUGUUUAUUGCAGCAUUAUUUACAAUAGCCAAGAUGUGGAAGCAACCCAAAGGUCUCUUGAUAGAUAAAUGGAUACAGAAGGUGUGGAAUAUAUACAUACACAUGUACAUAUACACAGUGGAAUAUUACUUGGUCAUUAAAGAAUAAAAUCUUGCCAUUUGCAAUGAUAUGGAUGGACCUAGACGGUAUAAUGCUAACUGAAACAAGUCAGUCAACGAAGGACAAAUGCCAUAUAAUUUCAACUUAUAUGUGGAAUUUAAGAACUAAAACAAACGAACAAAGAAACAAAGAGAAAAAAACAUAUUUAAAUAUAGAGAACAAACUGGUGGUUGCCAGAGAAGAGUUGGGUAAGGGGAUAGGUGAAAUAGUUGAUGGGGAUUAAGAAUACACAUCAUGAUGAGCAUUGUACACCUGAAACUAAUAUAACACUGUAUGUUAAUUAUUGUUGAAUUAAAAAGAAAAAAAUGGGCACUACAAGAAAAGAAAACUAGGAGCCAAUACCCUGAUGAUGAUAGAUGCAAAAAUCCUUAACAAAAUACUAGCAAAUGGAAUUCAAGAGCAUAUAAAAAGAUCAUACAGCAUGAUCAACAUACCCAACAUAUGGUUCAACAUACCCAAAUCAAUAAAUGAGAUAUACCACAUUAACAUAAUGAAGAAUAAAAAUUACAAGAUUAUUUCAAUAGAUGCAGAAAAAGCAUUUGAAAAAUUCAACAUUCUUGUGUGAUUUAAAACUCUCAACAAAUUAUAAAAGGAAUGUACCUCAACAUAAUAAAGGCCGUGUUUGGCAAGCCCACAGCUGACAUCAUACUCAGUGAUGCAAAGUUAAAAGCCUUUCCUUUAAGAUCACGAACAAGACAAGGAUGCCCCCUGUUGCCAUUUCUAUUCAACUUAGUACUGAAAGUCCUAGCCAUGGUAAUUAGGCAAGAAAAAGAAAUAAAAGGUAUCCAAAUUAGAAAGGAAGAAGUAAAAUUAUCUAUUUGUAGGGCUCGUAUAGAAAGCCCUGAAGACUUCACUAAAAAAACUGUUAGAACUAAUGAAUGAAUUUAGUAAAAUUACCAUAUACAAAAUCAACAUAGAAAAACCAGGUUCAUUUUUACAAACUAAGAACAAACUAUUCCUCAAAGAAAAACUAAGAAACCAAACCCAUUUACAACACCACCAAAACCAGUGAAACACUUUUUAAAUGAAAUGUAACCAAUUUAUUUAACCAAGGAGAUGAAAGAACUGUACACUGAAAACUUACAAGACAUUGAUGAAAGAAAUUGAAGAAGACACAAAUAAAUGGAAAGAUAUUCCAUGUUCGUGGAUUGGAAGAAUUAAUAUUAUGAAAAUGUCCAUGCUACCCAAAGCGAUCCAUAGAUUUAAUCUAAUCUCUAUCAAAAUCCAAUGACAUUUUUGUUAGAAACAGAAAAAACUACCCUAAAACUUAUAUGGAACCACAAAAGACCCCAAAUAGCCAAUGCAGUGUUGAGAGAGAAGAACAAAGCUGGAGGCUUUACGCUUCCUGAUUUCAAGCUACAUUACAAAGCUAUAGCAGCAAUAAACAUAGUAUGUUAAUGGCAUAAAACAGACGCUCAUGCAUAUAUUAUCAGUUAAUUUAGGGCAUAGGAGCCAAGAAUAUACAAUGGGGAAAGGAUAGUUUCUUCAAUAAAUGGUGUUGGAGAAAUUGGACCCCUAUCUUACACCAUACACAAAACUCAACUCAGCGUGGAUUAAAGACUUGAGUUUUAUGACUGUCUUAAGUGUAAGACAACAAAAGAAAAAAAUAAACAAGUGGUUAUAUAUCAAACUAAAAAAAAAACUUCUGCAUAGCAGAGGGAACUAUCAACAAAAUUAAAAGUCAGCCUACGGAACGUAUUUGGAACUGCAUGUCUGAUGAGGAGUUAAUAUCCAAAAUAUGUAUGGAACUCCUACAACUCAAUCGCAAAAAAACAGAAACCCAAUUGAAAAAUGGACAAAGAAUCUGAGCAGACAUUUUUGUAAAGAAGACAUAGAGAUGACCAACAGGUACACGAAAAGGUGGUUAACAUCAUUAAUCAGGUUAAUACAA